rnacentral:rRNA from 1 species
GUAGUCCACGCUGUAAACGAUGGGUGCUAGCUGUUGGGAGGUUACCUCUCAGUAGCGUAGCUAACGCGUUAAGCACCCCGCCUGGGGAGUACGGUCGCAAGAUUAAAACUCAAAGAAAUUGACGGGGACCCGCACAAGCGGUGGAACAUGUGGUUUAAUUCGAGGCAACGCGAAGAACCUUACCAGGAUUUGACAUGCCUCCUAUGGAUUCCCGAAAAGGAAUCCUUCACUUCGGGUGGGGAGGACACAGGUGCUGCAUGGCUGUCGUCAGCUCGUGUCGUGAGAUGUUGGGUUAAGUCCCGCAACGAGCGCAACCCUCGUUCUCUGUUGCUAACAGGUUAGGCUGAGCACUCUGAGAAAACUGCCGGUGAUAAGCCGGA